rnacentral:sRNA from 1 species
UUCAUUCUUCCUCGGCGUCCCUGGAGGACUGGAGACUGAUGCAUGAGGGGGCCACGGAGGCGCAGGAGCGGUGGUGAUGGUCUGGGAAGCGGAGCUGAAGUGCCCUGGGCUUUGGUGAGGCGUGACAGUUUAUCAUGACCGUGUUCAGGCAGGAAAACGUGGAUGAUUACUACGACACCGGCGAGGAACUUGGCAGUGGACAGUUUGCGGUUGUGAAGAAAUGUCGUGAGAAAAGCACCGGCCUCCAGUAUGCUGCCAAAUUCAUCAAGAAAAGGAGGACUAAGUCCAGCCGGCGGGGUGUGAGCCGUGAGGACAUCGAGCGGGAAGUCAGCAUCCUGAAGGAGAUCCAGCACCCCAAUGUCAUCACCCUGCACGAGGUCUAUGAGAACAAGACGGACGUCAUUCUGAUCUUGGAACUCCUGAGAACAUAAUGCUUUUGGAUAGAAAUGUCCCCAAACCUCGGAUCAAGAUCAUUGACUUUGGGUUGGCCCAUAAAAUUGACUUUGGAAAUGAAUUUAAAAACAUAUUUGGGACUCCAGAGUUUGUCG